GAUGAACGCUGGCGGCGUGCCUAAUACAUGCAAGUCGAGCGAACAGACGAGGAGCUUGCUCCUUCGACGUUAGCGGCGGACGGGUGAGUAACACGUAGGCAACCUACCUAUAAGACUGGGAUAACUUCGGGAAACCGGAGCUAAUACCGGAUAAUAUUUCGAACCGCAUGGUUCGAUAGUGAAAGAUGGCUUUGCUAUCACUUAUAGAUGGACCUGCGCCGUAUUAGCUAGUUGGUAAGGUAACGGCUUACCAAGGCAACGAUACGUAGCCGACCUGAGAGGGUGAUCGGCCACACUGGAACUGAGACACGGUCCAGACUCCUACGGGAGGCAGCAGUAGGGAAUCUUCCGCAAUGGGCGAAAGCCUGACGGAGCAACGCCGCGUGAGUGAUGAAGGUCUUCGGAUCGUAAAACUCUGUUAUUAGGGAAGAACAAACGUGGAAGUAACUGUGCACGUCUUGACGGUACCUAAUCAGAAAGCCACGGCUAACUACGUG
rnacentral:rRNA from 1 species